rnacentral:rRNA from 1 species
CGUGUAGGCGGCGAUUUAAGUCUGGAGUGAAAGUCCUGCUUUUAAGGUGGGAAUUGCUUUGGAUACUGGAUGGCUAGAGUGCAGGAGAGGUUAGUGGAAUUCCCAGUGUAGCGGUGAAAUGCGUAGAGAUUGGGAGGAACACCAGUGGCGAAGGCGGCUUUCUGGACUGUAACUGACGCUGAGGCUCGAAAGCUAGGGUAGCGAACG